rnacentral:rRNA from 1 species
AGGGACGCAGAAGGAUAGAAGAAGCGUGCGAUUGGUUGUGCACGUCCAAGCAGUUAGGCUGAUAAGUAGGCAAAUCCGCUUAUCGUGAAGGCUGAGCUGUGAUGGGGAAGCUCCUUAUGGAGCGAAGUCUUUGAUUCCCCGCUGCCAAGAAAAGCUUCUAGCGAGAUAAAAGGUGCCUGUACCGCAAACCGACACAGGUAGGCGAGGAGAGAAUCCUAAGGUGUGCGAGAGAACUCUGGUUAAGGAACUCGGCAAAAUGACCCCGUAACUUCGGGAGAAGGGGUGCUUUCUUAACGGAAAGCCGCAGUGAAUAGGCCCAAGCGACUGUUUAGCAAAAACACAGCUCUCUGCGAAGCCGUAAGGCGAAGUAUAGGGGGUGACACCUGCCCGGUGCUGGAAGGUUAAGGAGAGGGGUUAGCGUAAGCGAAGCUCUGAACUGAAGCCCCAGUAAACGGCGGCCGUAACUAUAACGGUCCUAAGGUAGCGAAAUUCCUUGUCGGGUAAGUUCCGACCCGCACGAAAGGUGUAACGAUUUGGGCACUGUCUCAACCAGAGACUCGGUGAAAUUAUAGUACCUGUGAAGAUGCAGGUUACCCGCGACAGGACGGAAAGACCCCGUGGAGCUUUACUGUAGCCUGAUAUUGAAUUUUGGUACAGUUUGUACAGGAUAGGCGGGAGCCAUUGAAACCGGAGCGCUAGCUUCGGUGGAGGCGCUGGUGGGAUACCGCCCUGACUGUAUUGAAAUUCUAACCUACGGGUCUUAUCGACCCGGGAGACAGUGUCAGGUGGGCAGUUUGACUGGGGCGGUCGCCUCCUAAAGUGUAACGGAGGCGCCCAAAGGUUCCCUCAGAAUGGUUGGAAAUCAUUCGUAGAGUGCAAAGGCAUAAGGGAGCUUGACUGCGAGACCUACAAGUCGAGCAGGGACGAAAGUCGGGCUUAGUGAUCCGGUGGUUCCGCAUGGAAGGGCCAUCGCUCAACGGAUAAAAGCUACCCCGGGGAUAACAGGCUUAUCUCCCCCAAGAGUCCACAUCGACGGGGAGGUUUGGCACCUCGAUGUCGGCUCAUCGCAUCCUGGGGCUGUAGUCGGUCCCAAGGGUUGGGCUGUUCGCCCAUUAAAGCGGUACGCGAGCUGGGUUCAGAACGUCGUGAGACAGUUCGGUCCCUAUCCGUCGUGGGCGUAGGAAAUUUGAGAGGAGCUGUCCUUAGUACGAGAGGACCGGGAUGGACGCACCGCUGGUGUACCAGUUGUUCUGCCAAGGGCAUAGCUGGGUAGCUAUGUGCGGAAGGGAUAAGUGCUGAAAGCAUCUAAGCAUGAAGCCCCCCUCAAGAUGAGAUUUCCCAUAGCGUAAGCUAGUAAGAUCCCUGAAAGAUGAUCAGGUUGAUAGGUUCGAGGUGGAAGCAUGGUGACAUGUGGAGCUGACGAAUACUAAUAGAUCGAGGACUUAACCAU